rnacentral:piRNA from 1 species
UGGGAUUUUGGAACCCUAAAGCUCAGUUCC